rnacentral:rRNA from 1 species
GAUGAACGCUGGCGGCGUGCCUAAUACAUGCAAGUCGAGCGAACAGACGAGGAGCUUGCUCCUCUGACGUUAGCGGCGGACGGGUGAGUAACACGUGGAUAACCUACCUAUAAGACUGGGAUAACUUCGGGAAACCGGAGCUAAUACCGGAUAAUAUAUUUAACCGUAUGGUUCAAUAGUGAAAGACGGUUUUGCUGUCACUUAUAGAUGGAUCCGCGCCGCAUUAGCUAGUUGGUAAGGUAACGGCUUACCAAGGCAACCAUGCGUAGCCGACCUGAGAGGGUGAUCGGCCACACUGGAACUGAGACACGGACCAGACUCCUACGGGAGGCAGCAGUAGGGAAUCUUCCGCAAUGGGCGAAAGCCUGACGGAGCAACGCCGCGUGAGUGAUUAAGGUCUUCGGAUCGUAAAACUCUGUUAUUAGGGAAGAACAAAUGUGUAAGUAACUAUGCACGUCUUGACGGUACCUAAUCAGAAAGCCACGGCUAACUACGUG